rnacentral:sRNA from 1 species
AAAACAGCCCGGAGCCUGCAGCCCAGCCCCACCCAGACCCAUGGCUGGACCUGCCGCCCAGAGCCCCAUGAAGCUGAUGGCCCUGCAGCUGCUGCUGUGGCACAGUGCACUCUGGACAGUGCAGGAAGCCACCCCCCUGGGCCCUGCCAGCUCCCUGCCCCAGAGCUUCCUGCUCAAGUGCUUAGAGCAAGUGAGGAAGAUCCAGGGCGAUGGCGCGGCGCUCCAGGAGAAGCUGGUGAGUGAGGCGGGUGAGAGGGCUGUGGAGGGAAGCCCGGCGGGGAGAGCUAAGGGGGAUGGAACUGCAGGGCCGACAUCCUCUGGAAGGGACAUGGGAGAAUAUUAGGAGCAGUGGAGCUGGGGAAGGCUGGGAAGGGAUUUGGGGAGGAGGACCUUGGUGGGGACAGUGCUCAGGAGGGCUGGCUGGGAUGGGAGUAGAGGCAUCACAUUCAGGAGAAAGGGCAAGGGCCCCUGUGAGAUCAGAGAGUGGGGGUGCAGGGCAGAGAGGAACUGAACAGCCUGGCAGGACAUGGAGGGAGGGGAAAGACCAGAGAG